UAAAACCGAGCAUUUGCUCAUGCUCAACCUGGUUUAAGUAAAGUAAAGUCUUUGAGCAUUUACUCAAAACCGUAUGAAUAAAACUAUACUUUACUCAGAGUAAGUUCGAAAUUCGAACAUAGCUUUUACUCUGUCAAAAAUGUUGUUUUUGUUUUGGUUAUCCGAUUGCUGAUUUCGCAAAAAUAAAAAUCCAGUAGUGCUUUGGCGGAUCUUUUGCCAUGCUAGGGAAAAAGUGUGAGUUGCUUGAUUUGCUGCCGCUUGCUGAUGCACACCCUGGCGGAACAUAUUUAUUAGCAUCACGCCUACCGGGGAAGCGUCGGUGAACGCAGAAAAAUCGCCUACCGGGGAAGCGUCGGUGAACGCAGAAAAAUCGCCUACCGGGGAAGCGUCGGUGAACGCAGGACACUAGUACACCAGCAAGGACUACAAAUUGGUGCUUGGAGAACACCCAACCGGUCCGCUCGCUACGCCCUCAGUGGAGAACAGAUGGCAAUGCCCUUCAACAGAAUCGGUGUCCAAGUGAAAGGCCACGGUGACGCCAUUCAGAACCCCAGCGGAGUCGAUUGAACGGUCGACAAGUUUCAGCAAUGGAAAGAAAGGAAAACAAACGAUCUGUCCUGAGUGGGUUCGCGAUGCAGGCUACCGGAUUGAGGGACCACAUCCCCACUUGGCUGUUAAAGAAAUGAAUAAACUGUUAACAUAUCCUA